CCCCCCCCCCCGGCACGGGAAGCCACGCUGGCAGCCAAAGGAGCGCCUGGAAAAUCGCGGCAUUCCCAUGGUUUUGUUGAAGAAUUACCAGGCAUUUGGAUUUUAUACUGAAGAAAUGCCAAGGCUUGGGGCUGGGUUGGGAAACCUUGGAAAACCGCAGUAUCCCGAUGGUUUACUGAAGAAACACUGGACAGAACGAUGAGGUUUGAGGCUGUUCUGGGAACCGUGGAAAAUCGCAGUGCUCGGAUUUUUCUUUUUAAUUGAAGAAAUAUCAGGGUUUGGGGCUGAUUUGGAAACCUUGGGAAAUUGCAGCACCUGGAUACUGGAGGAUAUCAAUGGGGUGGGUUGGGAAUCUCAUGGUCGAGGCUCUGGGAGAGGGCAGGAUGCUUUUAGCAGCUGCUGACUGCAGCUCCAAAUCCAUUACCCAUUAUCCAGUAUCCAUUAUCCAUUAUCCAUUAUCCAUCAUCCAUUACCCCGUGGAACAGAGCUGCUCCGAGGGUUGAUGGAGAGGAAACCAACCCGGCUCAGGCCUGUGGGAGAAAGGACGAAUUUGUCUUUCAAACCUAUCUCCCUCCAGAGGAGUAGAACUCGCUCCCACAGUCUCACUUCAUGUCAAGGAAUCCCGGUGUUUAAUGGGAGGAAAUGCCUCAGAAGAAAAUUAACAAUUGCGGGAUGCUCAUGGCAAGCUGGGGCUUUUUCAAAGGGUGAAAAUACGUGGCUGGAAUAAACAGAGAGCUGAAGACCAGAA